rnacentral:rRNA from 1 species
AUGAUCAGCACGACUGGGACUGAGACACGGCCCAGACUCCUACGGGAGGCAGCAUGGGGGAAUAUUGCACAAUAGGGCGCAAGCCUGGAUGCAGCCAUGCCGCGUGUGUGAAGAAGGCCUUCGGGUUGUAAAGCACUUUCAGUCAGGUAGGAAAGGUUAGUAGUUAAUACCCAUCAUGUGUGACGUUACUGACAGAAGAAGCACCGGCUAACUCCGUGCCAGCAGCCGCGGUAA